GCCGGCGUAGCUCAGUGGUAGAGCGCAGCUUUGGUAAAGCUGAGGUCAUGGGUUCAAUCCCCAUCGCCGGCUCCA
rnacentral:tRNA from 1 species